AUUCCAGCUCCAAUAGCGUAUAUUAAUGUUGUUGCAGUUAAAAAGCUCGUAGUUGGAUUUCUGCGUCGCGCAGCUCGGUCCGCCGCACUGCGGUGCGACUGUGGUUGGAGCGUCGCUUCUUUGUGGGGACUACUGGUGUCAUUAAUUUGAUGUCUUUAGGAACUGCAUCGUUUACUGUGAAAAAAUUAGAGUGUUCAAAGCAGGCUUAUGCCGUGAAUACAUUAGCAUGGAAUAAUAAGAUAGGACUUUGGUUCUAUUUUGUUGGUUGGAGGCCAAGGUAAUGAUUAAUAGGGAUAGUUGGGGGUGCUAGUAUUCAGCGGCCAGAGGUGAAAUUCUUGGAUUUACGGAAGACGAACGACUGCGAAAGCAUUUACCAAGGAUGUUUUCAUUGA
rnacentral:rRNA from 1 species